rnacentral:rRNA from 1 species
AGAGUUUGAUCCUGGCUCAGAACGAACGCUGGCGGCAGGCUUAACACAUGCAAGUUGAACGUGAUUUGCUGGGUGCUUGCAUCGAGCAAUGAAAGUAGCGCACUGGUGAGUAACACGUGGGAACGUACCUUUUGGUGGGGAACAACAGUUGGAAACGACUGCUAAUACCGCAUAAGCCCUGAGGGGGAAAGAUUUAUCGCCGAAAGAACGGCCCGCGGAAGAUUAGGUAGUUGGUGGGGUAACGGCCUACCAAGCCGACGAUCUAUAGCUGGUCUGAGAGGACGAUCAGCCACAUUGGAACUGAGACACGGUCCAAACUCCUACGGGAGGCAGCAGUGAGGAAUAUUGGGCAAUGGAGGCAACUCUGACCCAGCCAUGCCGCGUGAGUGAAGAAGGUUUUCGGAUUGUAAAGCUCUUUCGGGUGUGACGAUGAUGACGGUAGCACCUAAAGAAGCCCCGGCUAACUUCGUGCCAGCAGCCGCGGUAAUACGAAGGGGGCAAGCGUUGUUCGGAAUUACUGGGCGUAAAGGGAGUGUAGGCGGUUAUGUAAGAUAGUGGUGAAAUCCCAGAGCUUAACUUUGGAAUUGCCAUUAUGACUAUGUGGCUAGAAUUACAGAGAGGAUAGUGGAAUACCCAGUGUAGAGGUGAAAUUCGUAGAUAUUGGGUAGAACACCAGUGGCGAAGGCGACUAUCUGGCUGUAUAUUGACGCUGAGGCUCGAAAGCAUGGGGAUCAAACAGGAUUAGAUACCCUGGUAGUCCAUGCUGUAAACGAUGAGUGCUUGUUGUCGGUAUUGUAUCGGUGACGAAGUUAACGCGUUAAGCACUCCGCCUGGGGAGUACGGUCGCAAGAUUAAAACUCAAAGGAAUUGACGGGGACCCGCACAAGCGGUGGAGCAUGUGGUUUAAUUCGA